CGGGGUGUAGCGCAGCCCGGUUAGCGCACAUGCUUUGGGAGCAGGGGGUCCCAGGUUCGAAUCCUGGUACCCCGA
rnacentral:tRNA from 1 species